UGGUCAUUACAAUACAUUGAAUUUUGCAGGUGACUUUGGUACGGCGGAGUAUUAGGGCAACACAGAAACAGACGUGACGCGGUCUCACUCACGUGCAAGCCCCCACCCUCCUGUUCUUCCAAGGCCCUCCCCCAGCUGACCUAAUGAUUCGCCCCCACACUGAUUGACAAGAAGAGGCCAUUGCAAUACAUGCACAUAGAACAACUGGCAUAACGGACAACGAAAUACAAUGCAACAUAUAACACACAAACUAUUUAAAUGUCCCAGGGUUGCUACAGUAUGGAAUUGUGGGCUUCCAUACUGCAGGCGAAACGUAGACGGCGUAGCCUACAUGAGUUCUGAUAUUUUAUAAAACGGGUGGCUUAAAUUCAGCAAUCUGAUUGGUUCCUAACUGUAUAAGAUUCAGGAUUCAAAGUGUUUAUUGUCAUUUGCACAAGAGAAACAUGUGGGCGUUUACAUAACUGCUACGACGUCCAAUAAUUUUUUGAAAGUUUGCAGAGAUUCUUAGGUAUGUAAUAAAUCGCUGUCUAAUCAAUAGGCCUACAUCAUUCACUGCUUCUUCCGUGGUCAUUACAAUAUUAUGAAUCGACUGCGUCGGGUUCUCGGACGUCUCUCCCUCUUCCACAAAUAAUAACAAAAAAAAAAAUUACUCAAUUAUUUAAAGUGAUAUUUUUCUUAUAUUCUUGCUAUAAGGUCUGCUGGAAUGUUAGAAAGUGUUCAGUAUUAAAUAAAUCUUUUUAAAUUGCUAUAUUUAUUCUAGAUAUUAUUGAUGAUGACGAUGAUGAUGAUAAUGAUGAUGAUGAUGAUGAUGAUGAUGAUGAUGAUGAUGAUGAUGAUGAUGAACACAAGGGGCCCCCAGCGGUGUAUUUGGUGCUCACACUGACAGUAAAACUGGUGCACAAAGCAGGAGUCAAAGUUAUGCAUCUUUUUCUUUUUCUUUUUAACUAGAGUCUUUCACUUCUCCACCUUUGGAAAGUCUCGGAAAACGACCAAAACAGCCACAUUUAUAGUAAAGGCCAUUGACCAGCUUAUGCACUCCGCUGAGUAUGCCCAGAGUGAGGAAUUUUGGGCAGCGGCGUGCAUGCACCUGGGAAUUCCACUAUCCAGAGGAAAUAAAACGCGACUGAAGCAUGCAUACGAAAUGCAUAAA
rnacentral:lncRNA from 1 species